rnacentral:rRNA from 1 species
UACGGGGGGAGCAAGCGUUGUUCGGAUUUACUGGGCGUAAAGGGCGCGUAGGCGGCCUCUGCAAGUCGACUGUGAAAUCUCCGGGCUUAACCCGGAACGGUCAGCCGAUACUGCAGGGCUAGAGUGCAGAAGGGGCAACUGGAAUUCUCGGUGUAGCGGUGAAAUGCGUAGAUAUCGAGAGGAACACCUGCGGCGAAGGCGGCUUGCCAGAAUGCGCUCGACGGUGAGGGAUGAAAGCUGGGGGAGCAAACCGG